GCUAACUUCGUGCCAGCAGCCGCGGUAAUACGAAGGGGGCUAGCGUUGUUCGGAAUUACUGGGCGUAAAGGGCGCGUAGGCGGCGCUUCAAGUCAGAUGUGAAAGCCCCGGGCUCAACCUGGGAACAGCAUUUGAGACUGGAGUGCUUGAGUUCCGGAGAGGUGGGUGGAAUUCCCAGUGUAGAGGUGAAAUUCGUAGAUAUUGGGAAGAACACCGGUGGCGAAGGCGGCCCACUGGACGGAUACUGACGCUGAGGCGCGAAAGCGUGGGGAGCAAACAGGAUUAGAUACCCUUGUAGUC
rnacentral:rRNA from 1 species